rnacentral:rRNA from 1 species
CCUACGGGUGGCAGCAGUGGGGAAUAUUGGACAAUGGGGGGAACCCUGAUCCAGCCAUGCCGCGUGUGUGAAGAAGGCCCUCGGGUUGUAAAGCACUUUCAGUGAGGAAGAACGCCUGGUGGUUAAUACCCAUCAGGAAAGACAUCACUCACAGAAGAAGCACCGGCUAACUCCGUGCCAGCAACCGCGGUAAUACGGAGGGUGCGAGCGUUAAUCGGAAUUACUGGGCGUAAAGCGCGCGUAGGUGGCUUGAUAAGCCGGUUGUGAAAGCCCCGGGCUCAACCUGGGAACGGCAUCCGGAACUGUCAAGCUAGAGUGCAGGAGAGGAAGGUAGAAUUCCCGGUGUAGCGGUGAAAUGCGUAGAGAUCGGGAGGAAUACCAGUGGCGAAGGCGGCCUUCUGGACUGACACUGACACUGAGGUGCGAAAGCGUGGGUAGCAAACAGGAUUAGAUACCCGUGUAGUC